rnacentral:rRNA from 1 species
UACAGAGGGGGCAAGCGUUGUUCGGAAUUACUGGGCGUAAAGGGCGCGUAGGCGGCCUGUUAAGUCGAACGUGAAAUCCCCCGGGCUCAACCCCGGGAACUGCGUCCGAUACUGGCAGGCUGAAUCCGGGAGAGGGAUGCGGAAUUCCAGGUGUAGCGGUGAAAUGCGUAGAUAUGCGGAGGAACACCGAUGGCGAAGGCAGUCCCCUGGGCCUGUACUGACGCUCAUCGCACGAAGCG